UACGAAGGGUGCAAGCGUUAAUCGGAAUUACUGGGCGUAAAGCGUGCGCAGGCGGCUUUGCAAGACAGAUGUGAAAUCCCCGGGCUCAACCUGGGAACUGCAUUUGAGACUGCAAGGCUAGAGUACGGCAGAGGGGGAUGGAAUUCCGCGUGUAGCAGUGAAAUGCGUAGAUAUGCGGAGGAACACCAAUGGCGAAGGCAAUCCUCUGGGCCUGUACUGACGCUCAUGCACGAAAGCGUGGGGAGCAAACAGG
rnacentral:rRNA from 1 species